UACGAAGGUCCCGAGCGUUGUUCGGAAUCACUGGGCGUAAAGGGCGCGUAGGCGGUGCGGUAAGUCACCUGUGAAAUCUCCUGGCUCAACUGGGAGCUUGCAGGCGAAACUGCCGUGCUGGAGUGUGGGAGAGGUGCGUGGAAUUCCCGGUGUAGCGGUGGAAUGCGUAGAUAUCGGGAGGAACACCUGUGGCGAAAGCGGCGCACUGGACCACAACUGACGCUGAGGCGCGAAAGCUAGGGGAGCAAACAGG
rnacentral:rRNA from 1 species